AGACCAUGAUGAGGACACUUUCUUAGUAGCUCCUUGAACCUUUCCCAAGUUUCAUAUAAGGAUUCCCCGUCCUCUUAUGAGUAU
rnacentral:snoRNA from 1 species